rnacentral:rRNA from 1 species
GGGGGAUAUUGGACAAUGGGGGCAACCCUGAUCCAGCAAUGCCGCGUGUGUGAAGAAGGUCUUCGGAUUGUAAAGCACUUUCGACGGGGACGAUGAUGACGGUACCCGUAGAAGAAGCCCCGGCUAACUUCGUGCCAGCAGCCGCGGUAAUACGAAGGGGGCUAGCGUUGCUCGGAAUGACUGGGCGUAAAGGGCGUGUAGGCGGUUUACACAGUCAGAUGUGAAAUCCCCGGGCUUAACCUGGGAGCUGCAUUUGAUACGUGUAGACUAGAGUGUGAGAGAGGGUUGUGGAAUUCCCAGUGUAGAGGUGAAAUUCGUAGAUAUUGG